AACUCUUAGCGGUGGAUCACUUGGCUCAUGGAUCGAUGAAGAACGCAGCUAGCUGCGAUAAAUAGUGCGAAUUGCAGACGCAUUGAGCACAAAGAUUUCGAAUGCACAUUGCACCAUUGGGUUGAUUCCCGAUGGUACGUCUGGGUGAGGGGUC
rfam:Brugia malayi, FR3, WGS project CAPY01000000 data, contig: ctg1509614m